ACCGUCAAUUCAUUUGAGUUUCACCGUUGCCGGCGUACUCCCCAGGUGGAAUACUUAACGCUUUCGCUGUGCCACUCAAGGCUCAUUUGCCCCGAACAGCUAGUAUUCAUCGUUUACUGCGUGGACUACCAGGGUAUCUAAUCCUGUUCGAUACCCACGCUUUCGUGCUUCAGCGUCAGUUGGGCGCCGGUAUGCUGCCUUCGCAAUCGGAGUUCUGCGUGAUAUCUAUGCAUUUCACCGCUACACCACGCAUUCCGCAUACUUCUCGCCCACUCAAGAACGCCAGUUUCAACGGCGGAGCGAGGUUGAGCCCCGCGAUUUUACCGCUGACUUGGCAUUCCGCCUACGCACCCUUUAAACCCAAUAAAUCCGGAUAACGCUCGCAUCCUCCGUAUUACCG
rnacentral:misc_RNA from 1 species